rnacentral:rRNA from 1 species
UACGUAGGGUGCAAGCGUUGUCCGGAAUUAUUGGGCGUAAAGAGCUCGUAGGCGGCUCGUCACGUCGGCUGUGAAAACCUGGGGCUCAACCCCGGGCCUGCAGCCGAUACGGGCGAGCUAGAAUUCGGUAGGGGAGACUGGAAUUCCUGGUGUAGCGGUGAAAUGCGCAGAUAUCAGGAGGAACACCGGUGGCGAAGGCGGGUCUCUGGGCCGAUAUUGACGCUGAGGAGCGAAAGCGUGGGGAGCAAACAGG